rnacentral:rRNA from 1 species
UCCGAUUGAUCCCGUCGGACCCCACUGCUAUCGAGAUGGGACUAAAGUAUGCUAGUCGAACGACCAGAACUAUGUCUGGAAGUGGCACACUGCUCAGUAACACGUAGCUAACCUACCCUUAGGACGUGGAUACCCCCGAGAAAUUGGGGUUAAUCCGCGAUAGAUGUAAUGUCCUGGAAUGGUAUUACGUCUAGGUAUUUCAUACAUGUUUGAAAUAUGCCUAAGGAUGGGGCUGCGGCCGAUCAGGCUGUUGGUGAGGUAAUGGCUCACCAAACCUUUGACCGGUACGGGCCAUGAGAGUGGUAGCCCGGAGAUGGACACUGAGACAAGGGUCCAGGCCCUAAGGGGCGCAGCAACCGCGAAACCUCCACAAUGCACUCACGUGCGAUGGGGCUAUCUCGAGUGCCACCUGAUGAAGGUGGCUUUUCCUUGGUCUUCAAAGCCUUGGGAAUAAGAGGGGGGCAAGACUGGUGUCAGCCGCCGCGGUAACACCAGCCCCUCGAGUGGUGGGGAUGAUUAUUUGGCCUAAAGCGUCCGUAGCCGGCCGAGCAAGUCUUCCGUUAAAUCCAGCGUCUCAAGCGUUGGACCGCGGGAGAUACUACAUGGCUAGAGAGUGGGAGAGGUCAGCGGUAUUCUGGGGGUAGGGGCGAAAUCCUUUGAUCCCCGGAGGACCACCAGUGGCGAAGGCUGCUGACUAGAACACGUCUGACGGUCAGGGACGAAAGCUGGGGUAGCGAACCGGAUUAGAUACCCGGGUAGUCCCAGCCGUAAACGAUGCAUGCUAGGUGUUGGGUUGGCCACGAGCCACCCCAGUGCCGCAGGGAAGCCGUUAAGCAUGCCGCCUGGGAAGUACGAUCGCAAGAUUGAAACUUAAAGGAAUUGGCGGGGGAGCACCACCAGGCGUGAAGCCCGCGGUUUAAUUGGAGUCAACGCCGGGAACCUUACCGGGAGCGACAGCAGAAUGAAGGCCAGAUUGAGGAUCUUGCCAGACGAGCUGAGAGGAGGUGCAUGGCCGUCGCCAGUUCGUGCCGUGAGGUGUUCUCUUAAGUGAGAUAACGAACGAGACCCGUGCCACAUGUUGCCACCAGUAUCUAAAGGAUAGCUGAGCACUCUUGUGGGACCGCAGCCGAUAAGGCUGAGGAAGGUACGGGCAACGGCAGGUCAGUAUGCCCCGAAUCUCCCGGGCCACACGCGGGCUGCAAUGGUAUAGACAGAGGGCUGCCACCCCGAAAGGGGGAGCCAAUCCCUAAACUGUACCUCAGUUGGGAUCGAGGGUUGCAACCCACCCUCGUGAACAUGGAAUGCCUAGUAACCGCCAGUCAUCAUCUGGCGGUGAAUACGUCCCUGCUCCUUGCACACACUGCCCGUCGAACCACCCGAAUGAGGUUUGGGUGAGGAAUGGUCGAAUGUUGGCCGUUUCGAACCUGGGCCUCGUAAGGAGGGUUAAGUCGUAACAAGGUG